AGGACGAACGCUGGCGGCGUGCUUAACACAUGCAAGUCGAGCGGAAAGGCCCUUCGGGGUACUCGAGCGGCGAACGGGUGAGUAACACGUGAGCAACCUGCCCUUAGCUCUGGGAUAGCUCCGGGAAAACCGGAAUUAAUACCGGAUACGACCUAGCCGACAUCGGCCGUGGUGGAAAGUUUUUUCGGCUAGGGAUGGACUCGCGGCCUAUCAGCUAGUUGGUGGGGUAAAGGCCUACCAAAGGCGACGACGGGUAG
rnacentral:rRNA from 1 species